rnacentral:rRNA from 1 species
CGCCCAGACUCCUACGGGAGGCAGCAGUGAGGAAUAUUGCACAAUGGGGGAAACCCUGAUGCAGCGACGCCGCGUGAGCGAUGAAGUAUUUCGGUCUGUAAAGCUCUAUCAGCAGGGAAGAAGAUGACGGUACCUGACUAAGAAGCCCCGGCUAACUACGUGCCAGCAGCCGCGGUAAUACGUAGGGGGCAAGCGUUAUCCGGAUUUACUGGGUGUAAAGGGAGCGUAGACGGCGAUGCAAGCCAGAUGUGAAAGCCCGGGGCUCAACCCCGGGACUGCAUUUGGAACUGUGUGGCUGGAGUGUCGGAGAGGCAGGCGGAAUUCCUAGUGUAGCGGUGAAAUGCGUAGAUAUCAGGAGGAACACCGGUGGCGAAGGCGGCCUGCUGGACUGCAACUGACGUUGAGGCCCGAAAGCGUGGGGAGCAAACAGGAUUAGAUACCCUGGUAC